UUUUUUGCGGCCGCGGAGGAUAUUCUCCACUGUGGACGAAGUGUGUGGUGGGCGACAACUCCGCGAGAGUGAUGUAGUGUUUUUCGGAUCGUAAAAUCUCUUUUUUUAAAGAGGAACAAGAGUUAGAGUAGCUGUUAAACAUUUUUGACGGUAUUUAACCAGAAAGCCACGGCUAACUACGUGCCAGCGGCCGCGGUAAUAUUUAGGUGGCAAGCGUCUUCCGGAUUUAUUGGGCGUAAAGCGAGCGCAGGCGGUUUUGUAAGUGUGCUGUGAAAGCCCUCAGCUCAACUGAGGAAGUGCAGUGGAAACUACAAAACUUGAGUACAGAAGAGGAAAGUGGAACUCCAUCUGUAGCGGUGAAAUGCGUAGAUAUAUGGAAGAACACCAGUGGCGAAGGCGGCUUUCUGUUCUGUUACUGACGCUGAGGCUCGAAAGCAUGGGUAGCGAACAGGAUUAGAUACCCUGGUAGUCCAUGCCGUAAACGAUGAAUACUAGGUGUUGGAGGGUUUCCGCCCUUCAGUGCCGCAGCUAACGCAUUAAGUAUUCCUCUUGGGGAGUACGACCGCAAGGUUGAAACUCAAAGGAAUUGACGGGGGCCCGCACAAGUGGUGGAGCAUGUGGUUUAAUUUGAUGCUACGCGAAGAACCUUACCAGCUCUUGACAUCAUCUGCCAACCCAAGAGAUUGGGCGUUCCCCUUCGGGGACAAGAAAUGACAGGUGGUGCAUGGGUUUUGUCCAGCUUCUGGUCUGU
rnacentral:rRNA from 2 species